UCUAAUAUGACAGAAAUAUGUGAUGGAUUUAAACCCCAUUUAUAAAAGAUUUUAUUCUUUUUUUUAGAA
rnacentral:tRNA from 1 species